CAGGUAGGAAUACCCGCUGAACUUAAGCAUAUCAAUUAGCGGAGAAAACUG
rnacentral:rRNA from 1 species